rnacentral:lncRNA from 1 species
AUUAGAUACAUAUGAUUAUAUGUAUUUAAUCACAUAUGAUUGCAGUGGACAAAGAACAAUUAUUUAAUCGAGAUUGUGACAAUGAAUCUCAUCCACAUAAAUCAUAUAUGAUUGAAUACAUAUAAUAACAACUUUCGACUAAGUAAUUGCUUUUGUGUAAUUAAUCACAUGUGAUUAUAUGUAUAUAAUAAUAUAUGAUUUGAGGUGGACAAGAUGCAUUUUUUCCUUCUCGAUUCAAUAGCAAUGCUCAUGUACUUAAUCAAAUAUGAUUAUACCUAUAAUCACAUUUGAUAAAAUACAUGAGAACGACUAUUGAAUCAGCAAAGCAAAAAUGAGUUAUGUGAUUAGAUUCAUAUAAUCAAAUGUGAUUAUAUGUAUUUAAUCAUAUGUGAUUAGAUUCAUAUAAUCACAAAGAAAAAAUGAAUUAAAUCCUNAAAACCGGGUUUUAUCAUAAAACCAACAAUAACAACAUAUAACAUACCAAGUUUUAUCUUGUCAUAAAACCAAUAAUAGCAACAUACUUUAUAAAUUAACAUAUAGAACUUCCGAAUAUAACUUCAUAACUAUAUAUCUAUAUAUAUAUAUAUAUAUAUAUAUAUAUAUAUAUAUAUAUAAUCAUAUAUGAUUUCUAUGUUAUUAAAUACAUAUAAUCACAUGUGAUUAAAUACACGUGAAAAACUAGUGAAUUGAGAAUGCAAAAAUGAUUAUUGUCUACGUAAAUCACAUGUGAUUAUAUGUAUCCAAUCACAUAUGAUUUAUAUGAACGAUAUUCAUUUUUGAGUUUUCGUGUCAAUAAUUUUUCUCAUAUAUUUAAUCAUAUGUGAUUCUAAGUAUUUUAUCAUAUGAUUAUAAGUAUUUAAUUAUAUUUAAUCAUAUGUGAUUAGAUACAUAAAUCUUAUGUGAUUAGGUUCAUAUAAUCACAUUUGAUUUGAUCUAUUUAAUCAUAUAUGAGUAAUGUGGGUAUUUGUUUUCGCGUUCUUGAUUCAGUAUUUGUUAUCGUAUAUAUAAUCGCAUGAGAUUGUACAUAGCUAAUUACAUAUGAUUUAUAUAAAUAAGAUUCGUUUUUUUCCAAAUAAAAUCAUAUGUGAUUAGAAGCAUAUAAUCACAUCCGAUUAAAUGUAUUUAUUCACGUAUGAUUAAAUUGGAAAAAAAACAAUGAUUGAAUCAAGAACUUAAAUAUGAAUCUUGUUUAGAUAAAUCAUAUGUGAUUAGAUACAUAUAAUCAUAUGUGAUUAUAUGCACUUAAUCACAUAUGAUAUAUAUGGACAAUAUUUAUCUUUGGGUUCUCGAUUCAAUAGUUGUUCUUGUGUAUAUAAUCAUAUGUGAUUAUAUGUAUCAAAUUACAUAUGCUUUAUAUAGACGUCAUUAUUUUCUGUCCAUAUAAAUCAUAUGUGACUAGAUACAUAUAAUCACAUAUGAUUAUAUGUAUUUAAUCACAUAUGAUUAUAUGUAUUUAAUCACAUAUGAUUAUAGUGGACAAAGAACAAUUAUUGAAUCGAGAAUGUGACAAUGAAUCGCAACCAUAUAAAUCAUAUAUAACUGGAUACAUAUAAUCACAUGGGAUUAUAUGUAUUUAAUCAGAUAUGAUUUAUGUAAACAAUAUUUAUUUUUGCGGUUUUGACUGAAUAAUUACUUUUGUGUAAUUAAUCACAUGUGAUUAUAUGUAUAUAAUCACAUAUGAUUUGAGGUGGACAAGAUUCAUUUUUUCUUCUCGAUUCAAUAAUUGUGCUCAUGUACUUAAUCACAUACGAUUAUACAUUUAAUACAUGCGAUAAAAUACACGAGAACAACUAUUGAAUCAGAAAAGAAAAAAUGAAUUAUGUCCACAUAAAUCAUGUGAGAUUAUAUUCAUAUAAUCACAUCUGAUUAUUUGUAUUUAAUACAUAUGAUUAAUUUGGAUAAAGAUUUGUUUUCGCGUUCUUGGUUCAAUAUUUGUUAACGUGUAUAUAAUUAUAUGUGAUUGUAUGUAUCUAUUCACAUAUGAUGUAAAUAGAAAAUAUUCGUUUUUUCCAAAUAAAAUCGUAUAUGAUUAGAAACAUAUAAUCACAUCUAAUUAAAUGUAUUUAAUCACAUAUGAUUAAAGUGAAAAAAACAAUUAUUGAAUCGAGAACGUGUAAAAGAAUCUUAGCGACAUAAAUCGUAGUGAUUAGAUACACAUAAUCACAUGUUAUUAGGGUUCUGUGAACAAUAACAUACAACAAGUAAUUCUUACGUAAUAGGAGAGUUAGUGCUCACCUCCUUGAUCUUGAAAAUUAGCUAGCAUGAGCAAGAUGGAUCAUUUCCUUUCCAAGAACCUACACAAAAGUUAUAACAUUAUUUAUAUAGACAUCAUUAGUUUUUGUCUAUAUAAAUCCUAUGUGAUUAGAUACAUAUAAAUGAUUACAAUUGACAAAUAAUAGUUAUAGAAUCGAGAAUGGGAUAACCAAUCUUAUGCACAUAAAUUAUAUAUGAUUGGAUACAUAUAAUCAUAUGUGAUUAUAUGUAUUUAAUUAGAUAUGAUUUAUGUAGACAAUAUUUAUUUUUGCGGUUUCGAUUGAAUAAUUGUUUUUGUAUAUUUAAUCACCUCUGGUUAUAUGUAUAUAAUCAGAUAUGAUUUGAGGUGGACAAGAUUCAUUUUUGCCUUUUUGAUUCAAUAGUUGUGUUCAUGUACUUAAUCACAUACGAUUAUACAUAUAAUCAUAUGUGAUUAAAUACACAAGAACAAGAACUGAAUCGAGAACGCAAAAAUGAAUAUUUUGCACAUAAAUUCUAUGUGAUUAGAUACAUAUAAUCACAUGUGACUAUAUACAUUUAAUCAUAUAUGAUAUAUGUGGACUUUAUCUUUAUGUUCUCGAUUCUAUAGUUGUUCUCGUGUAUAUAUAAUCGUAUGUGAUUGUAAUUCAUAGGUAUUUAUAUACCCAUACGUAAGAGUCACAAAAUAAUACAAAAGAUGGUAAAAUAUAAUGUUUCUUAUAUAAUAAUAAUAAUAAUAAUAAUAAUAAUAAUAAUAAUAAUAAUAAUCGUUAUUAUUAAUAUGUCAUUAUAUAAGAAACAUUAUAUUUUAACAUCUUUUGUAUUAUUUUGUGACUCUUACGUAUUGGCAUAUAAAUACCUUUGAAUUUCUAUAUGGAAUGCAUGGGAAUCGAUAAAACUAACAAGGUUGAACUAAUAUAUCCUAAAGACUUGAAUAAUAUAAUCUUUAACACAUGUUUAAAUGUUACUCAAGUGUAAUAUAUUUAUCAUAUACAAAAACUAAUUUAAAAACACUACUCCAGAAGCACUAGACAAAAUAAUUGCCAUUAUUAAUGAUCUUUGAGCUAACCAAUACAAACUAAAUCUUUUUAUACUUAAAUUCUAAUUCCAUUUGUGCUUACAAUAAGAAGUAAAGGUAUGGAGAGAACAAAAAAGUUGAGAAGCAUAAAAGUUGAUCAAGUUUCUUCAAGCAAAGACUAUUAAUGUUGGGGAACCUUCCGACUGCAACUUUUUGUUCUUUUUCUGUUAUUGUUCAAAGUUCAUACCCCUCAAAAAUUACCAAGAGAAUCACCGCCACAAAAAUAGUUGACUUUUCCAUUUUUCUAAUUAUGGUUGUGAUUUUACAAAUGGUUUUGUAUAUGUGCAGAAUUUAAGGCUUAAAGAACCGAAACCAAAACAAUAAUUUAUAUUAAAAAAAUUAAAAGCACCAAAAUACAACUAACAACAGUAAAUGAGUAAAUAAAUUGAUGUAAUAGCUUUAGCCCAAAGAUUCGAGAUGAGAAAGAAAGAUUACAAUAAGUAGCCGAAUUGAUUGCAUUCCAAAUUGGCUACUAAUCCUGACUUGAAUCUUGUCGAUCGUUAUAGAUUUGAUUGUCUAGGGUUCCGAACUUUUACUUGAAGGAAGUUUUCCUUUUUAACAAAAUCAUAUUCCCCUAUAAUCAUAACUCCAUUUUUACAGCAUCUUCAAAAUAAAGUAUUUAUUCAUCUCGUUUAACUUUUGAAGUGUGUAUUGAAAUCAUUACCUGAAGAGAAGUAACCCAGCCGAUGAGUAAACAGGCGAGCCAUAAUUUCAAUAUAAACAAUACCGAUUCAUCUUGUUACAAACGAUCGAUUCAUCUUGUUACAAACGAUUGAGGGAGGUGGUUCAGAAGGCCAGUUCUGGUAGCAACAUUGGCAGAUCCGAUGGUGACGGUGGUGGCCGAUGAAACCUAAUCUAGCGGCUGGGAAGCUAGAUCGAGAAGAGUAGAGACAAAAGGAGGUGACUUCCGGCGAAAUGAGUACUAGAGGCGGAUGAAAGAGGCAGUAGUUUAGUGGUUCCGACGACGUCGGUACGGUGGUCCGAUAGUCUUUUGGUGGUGUAGCUUCAAAUGACGGGAGAACCCGUACAAUUGUGUUUGGAGGUUGGGGGUAGGGACUAGCAUGUAUGGCUUAGCUUUUCAUAUUCCAAAAGUCUUUUUUGAAAAAUAAAAAAAAAGCAAAAGAUAUUUGGCAAAAGUUACUUUUGGAGUUUUAUACAAGUAAAAUGAAUUUUUUGGAAAAGUCAGGAAAUUCUGAUUUUUCGUAACUUUUUCAAAAAUGACUUUUAGGCUGUGAAAAGCUAACCCAAACACCCCUAAGUGGAUAGUGGUUUUCAGUUAUAGUUUUAUUAAUAUAAAUAUUAUUUUAUGAUUUUAAUUGAAAAAUUAAAUGGUAGAUUUGUUCUCAAAUGUACUCAAUUUAAAAAAUGUUUUCAUUUGAACAUAUAUAUAUAUAUAUAUANAUAUGUAUAUAUAUAUAUAUAUAUAUAUAUAUAUGAUCAAAUGAGAAUACCUAAAAGGUUGAGAACGUAAGAACAGUUGUAGACCAAUCAUUUUUAGAGGGCAUAAAUGGAAUUUUACCAUCUAAUUAAAUUAUGAUUUCCUAAAUUUUAGUGAUUAUAAUGACACUUACAAAAAAUAUCUCAUUUUUUAGAUACUAUUCUUUUAAUGAACCAAUAAUUAAUAAAAUCAUGAGUUAAUUUCUAUCUAAAAAAACGUUUUUUUUUUUUCAUUUCAUUCAUUUUUAUGUUUCAUUUUUAGCAAUCAAAUAUCAAGAGAAUGAAUAAUUUAUAGGUUUACCUCAUUUAUUUUUUUUAAAUAUCUUCAUAAAUAAUGAUUUAUACAUUUCAUUUUAAAAUGAAUAAAAUUAUAAAUUAGAAAUGAAUUAACUCAGAUGUAUUUAUGAAUACACUUGUAAAAUCAUAAAUUAAUAAAACCCAAAAAAAAUGAUUAUAAAAUCAACUAAAAUGAUACACAUAUAUAGAUAAAUAAAACACAUUUCUAUUCAUAUAAGAAUAUAAUUAUAAUAGUAAAUGAAUAAGUUACAAUAUAUAUUUUUUUGAUACGGAAACUAAUACUACAAUUACAAUCAUAAAUGAAUAAAACAUAUUUGCGCUCCUUCCGAAAUCUAUUUGUGUCGGUGUUUCAUUUGGUAAAUCUCCCACCUCCCACUCUAUGCAUGUUUAUUCAAUGGAUCUGCAAAAAUGUUAAAGAAACAAUUAUGUAUAAUUAAAUAGUCAUUCACACAUAAAUACAUUGACAUUCACAAAUGAAUACACUCUAUUCAUAAAUAAAUACAAAAUAAAAAUAGUGUAAAAAUUGUCAUUUCUUAUUAUUCGUUCCCUGCCAAGAAUAACCACCAGGAUGGGGUUGUGUUCCCGGUGAAAUCAAAAGAGGCAACCGCCUCUUGGCUUUUUCCCCUCACCUGCAUUGUCGUGGCUGCUUUCCCUGCUCCUCUCGAACCAGCCUCAUGGAGUAUUCAUUGAUGAUUAACUGCAAAUGAGACAUCUGACAUUGUAUUCAUACAAGAUUACAAUUGAAUAUUUAUUGAUAGAUUCAUUGAUGAUUAACUGCAAAUGGAAGAUGUUAAUAUAACCAAUGGCUUGUGUAUUAACUAUUAACUAUGAAACAUGAAGGGUGUGUGACUUGUAACAACUUACUGAGUGUAAAAGAAAAGUACAUCGGGUCCAACAAUUAUCAGAUUAGCAAGAAGAAUUGCUCAUGACACCAAUUGUAACUAAAUAUGUAAACAAGCAGCCAAACAGGAUGGAUUAAUUUCAAAGAGGUCUUCCAAGUUUCAUCUUCAUACAAGAUCCCAAUUGGAGAAUGAACACAAAAUUGAAGCUAAUUCCCAUUGAGUUCCUAAUUGUUUUAACUUGUGAUAAUUACACCAAAUUUGAUACUCACAUAGUUUCAAAAAUUACAGAAAACAAAACCAACACUACGAUUUUUGGAGAUAAACUUAGCGUUUUUUAAUCAUACGUACAACCAUGUUUAUAAUCAUGAGUGAUUAUAAAGAAUACAGCUUACGAUGACCUGUCCGCCAUCAUCAAAAUUGAUUAAAAAUCGGAUGAAAUUGACUGAGUAAAGCAUAUGGGAAGGUAGAUAAUUGGUUUAUCAGAAAGUAUGAACAACUAGCAGUGACAAGAAAGCUCAAUCAAUAGGACUUACCCUCUUCUCUAGACACGGCUCAUGAGAUCGAAAAAAUCACCAGAUAACUUGAAAAAUCGCAGAUCUUCGUAGACUUGAGGUUGUUGUGUCAGUUUUGUCGCUAAUUACUAAAGCCAUUGUGGCCACCGGAGACUUGAGGUUGUGGUGUAGGUUUCAGUCGGAUUGUCGCCUUGCUGGAGGCAAGACCCAACUAUCCUUCCUCGUUAAUUUCAUUCACCUGCUUUCGACAUAGGAGGUGUAACAACUGAUAACCCUAGGAUGUUGAAAGGUUUGGUACUCACGAAUGGAAGAGACAUUGAAUUAUAGAGAUGGUUGGAUAUAGAAGCGUAGUCAGGGUUUUAUUGUGCGAGAUGGUGGCUAUCAUCGGCGAUCAUGGUGGCGAAGGCAGAGGCGAUGCUUUUUCAUUCUCCGAUUGUGAAAGUGGUUCUUGGAUGGCAGCAACGCAAGUGGAAAAUAAUGGAGUGAAUGAUAAAGUCGUAGGUUUAGGUAUAUAUAUAUAUAUAUAUAUAUAUAUAUANNNNNNNNNNNNNNNNNNNNNNNNNNNNNNNNNNNNNNNNNNNNNNNNNNNNNNNNNNNNNNNNNNNNNNNNNNNNNNNNNNNNNNNNNNNNNNNNNNNNNNNNNNNNNNNNNNNNNNNNNNNNNNNNNNNNNNNNNNNNNNNNNNNNNNNNNNNNNNNNNNNNNNNNNNNNNNNNNNNNNNNNNNNNNNNNNNNNNNNNNNNNNNNNNNNNNNNNNNNNNNNNNNNNNNNNNNNNNNNNNNNNNNNNNNNNNNNNNNNNNNNNNNNNNNNNNNNNNNNNNNNNNNNNNNNNNNNNNNNNNNNNNNNNNNNNNNNNNNNNNNNNNNNNNNNNNAUCUUACCAAUCUCAUUUAAUGUUUAAUUUUUUUGUGCUAUUUAACAUAUUAAUAUAAAUGUCUAAAAAUUUACAUCAUAAAUCAAAUUUUCAUAUUUUUUAAAAAAAAAAUAGUAUUUUUCGUUUUUUUUAAAUGCAAAUUUUUUAAUAUUUUAUAGAAAACAUGAAUUUUUAAAAAAAAAUGAUAAAAUAUUUUUUUAAAAUAACUGCAUUUUUUAAAAAAAACUGCAAUUUUUUUUAAGAAAACUGCAUUUUUUCCAAAACUAACUACAAAUUAAAAAAAAAANAAAAAAAAAAAAAAAAAAAAAAAAAAAAAAAAAAAAACUGCAUUUUUAAAUAAAAAAAACUACAAUUUUUUCAAAAAAACUAUAAGUUUUUUUAAAGAAAGUUACAUUUUUUUCAGAAAAAACUGUAUUUAACAAAAAAACUGCAUUUUUUUUAAAAGUAAUUUUUUAGGUGCAUAUGUGCAUAUUUUUUCAAAUGCACAUAUAUUCAUUUAUUAUACUAUAAUAUUCGUAAGUAAAUCACAACAAAUCUCAUAUUUAUUAAUUAAUCUGUAAACAUAAUAGUACAAAUAUUUUAUUCGAUAUAAAAUAAAAUAUAAAAAAUAAAAAAAUACUACAAAUUUCAAAGCGUUUUCAUGUCUUCGUGUGAAUAUUUCCAUAUUUUCUUCAAUUUAUCAUUUUCCAUGUCUUCAAUAUUCACCACAAUUUCUUCCAAAUCUACAAGAAAAUUAAAAAGAAAUCGAUUGAUGCAAAAAUAUUCACAAAAAUACAUAUCUGAUUUACAUGUGUAUCACAUGUGAAUUACAUGUGAAUCACAUGUAAUUCAUAUGUGAUUUACAUGUGAAUCACAAGUAAUUCAUAUGUGAUUUACAUGUGAAUCAUAUGUAAUUACAAUUCAUAUGUGACUUACAUGUGAAUCACGUACAAUUCAUAUGUGAUUUACAUGUGAAUCACAUGUAAUUAAUAUGUGAAUUACAUGUGAUUUACAUGUAAAUCACAUGUAAUUCAUAUGUGAAUUACAUGUGAUUUACAUGUGAAUCAUAUGUAAUUCAUAUGUGAUUUACAUGUGAAUCACAUGUAAUUUACAUAUGAAUUACAUGUGAUUUACAUCUGAAUCAAAUGUGAUUCAUAUGUGAAUUACAUGUGAUUUACAUGUGAAUCACAUGUAAUUCAUAUGUGAUUUACAUGUGAAUCACAUGUAAUUGCAACGUUAAACUUUUUAUAAAUUUAGUUAAGUAAAAAAGAAGCAACCAUAGUUGUCUUGAUUAUAACUGUUGAACUGAUUAUAAAACUGACCAAAUUUACAAAUCACAUCAUCUGCGAUAGAGCACCCACAAGCUGUGCAACUAGGUCUAGAAGGAGCCUCCUCAAAUUAGCCAACAAAGGAUAUUCAACCUGACUUACAACCCUGCAAUGAGAAAAUUUAUCAAAUAAACACAACACCACAUGACAUAAUUCCAAUUAUGCCACUUGAAAUCAAUGAGCAUAUCAACUAGAUAUCUUCAAGUUUCUGAAGAUAACGUGCCCUUACCUGUCAGCAUUGAUCAACCAAUCAAAUACAAAAUGUUCAAGCCCACUCCAUAGUUUUUCUGCAAUUACAAUAAGCAUAUCCUGUUUUAGAACAAAAUGACCUCAAUUACAGGGAUUAAGGGUAGACUAAUGAUGGAACAACCAAACCUUUUUCUGAAAUUCAACACUGAUUCCUUUAUCAUCUGCAUUAGCUAACUGAGCAGUCAAGAUGAAAUCUACAAGUUCGUUCACAGGAGCAUCUUCACCUAUUAAGAAUCACGAGAAGAAAAACAAAUUAGUAAAAUAUAUUUUGUAUGAUUUAAAAUAAAUACAAAUUACAAUACCAAGUUUUUUUUAUUGAAAACUCGACUUCCUCAAUACUGAAGUUCAUCAUUAGUAAGGAAGCCUUUUUGUCAUCAAUACCAUUGUAACCUUCAUCAAGAUCUUGCAUAGAAAGUAUUUUUAGCAGAUUGAUAACGAACUCUGAUGAAGAUAAAAGUCUAAAAAAUAUGUUAAACAUGAAAAAAAAAAUACAAAUGAAGGAUUAUAAGAGAGAAUGCUAACCAAAUUUCUUGACUGGCACAGAUGAAGCAUAAAAUGUCUAGCAAAAUUGCAGAAAAUAAUAGAGUUGUAUAAGUUCUCCUGAGACACUCUCUUCCAACUAAUCAACAUCUAUUUCAUCAGUUAAUAUUGUAUCAAUUUCAUAAGUGUUGGCCUUCAUUUGUAGAUUUAAAAUUCAAAAUAAAAUAUCAUAAAAUCAUUAUUCAUAUCAUGUUUUGCAACCCUUAAACAUAGCAAAAGCAAAAACAUAAGCAUCCUUGAUUUAUAGCUUUUACAAGGUUUGUAAACAGUUUGAUAAUCCGAUUACUAAUGGAUCAUAUACUUGAAAAUUAAGAGAAAAUUACGAUCUUAUUGAAAAAUUCGAAACAUUACCUUAGAAUUUAGAAUAGCACUGAGAACAGAACAAAGAGUUGCAACAGAUGCUUUGUAUCGGAGUCGAGCUUCAUUAAGAGCUCCAUUGAUUUUAUCGAAGAUAAUAUUUGAAAUAUCGAUUCUAUCGUAUCUUCCAAAUGUUUUUUCCCUUCCAUCGCCAACUCGUGUGUCGAUUUCUAACUUGUGAUGGUCGUGUUGCUAGUCUCGUCUAUUGAUUUCGAAUCUUAACACGAAAUUCAAAUUGUGGAUCAGAAAACAAUUGCAAACCCUAAUUUUUGCAAUUGACUGAAACUGGAAGAGGUGAGGCGAUGAUAGGAGGAGAGAGAUCUCUCAUCGUUGUGUUCUAUUUCAAUCUCUCAUCGAUGUUAUCCUGAUCGAAGGAAUCAUUGUCGCAAAAGCGUAAAGACGUGUGUAUGUGUGUGUGUGUGUUUGUGUGUGUGAGGGAGAAAGAGAAGUGGGGGAGAGACGAUGAAGAAGGCAACUAAUCGAUAUGGUGAUGAUUACCGGAGGCGGCCAUGGCUUUCAGAUGGUGACAUUGGAUUUCAUCAAACGAUCAGUGAUGAAGUUGACGUGAUGAAAGUGUAGGGAGAGGGACGAGAUGAAGAGAGAGAGAGAGUGAGAGAGAGAGAGAGAGAUAUAUACGGAGAGAUUCGACGUGAUUAAUCUGAUAAUGGGGUAUCAAUUACAGUUUCCCUAAAUGCCCUUGAUUUAUUUUAAUAAGAUGCCCAUGUCCCUUUUUAUUUUCAAGUAUUUACAAAAAUGCCAUAAAGCAUCCUAACCCUUUAUUAUUUUAAUCUAACGGUCAUUUAUGAGUUCUCGGAAAACUUUGAGUUCUCAAAUGAUCCUUGCUCUCUCUCUCUNGAGAUGUCAAAUCAUGAGGGACCGAAAUGCUUAUGGGAUGAAGAGAGAGAGAGAGAGAGAGAGAGAGAGAUGUAGGGAGAGAUUCGACGUGCUUAAUCUGAUAAUGGGGUAUCAAUUACAGUUUCCCUAAACGCCCUUGAUUUAUUUUAAUAAGCUGCCCAUGUCCCUUUUUAUUUUCAAGUAUUUACAAAAAUGCCAUAAAGCAUCCUAACCCUUUAUUAUUUUAAUCCAACUGUCAUUGUUUAGUUCUUGGGUUCUUGGGAAACUUUGAAUUCUCAAAUGAUCCUUGCUCUCUCUCUCUCUCUCUCUCUCUCUCUCUCUCUCUCUAUAUAUAUAUAUAUAUAUAUAUAUAACAACAAGAUAAACAUAACUAUAUUAAUUAUUAAUAAUCACCUACUUUCUAUUUUAUUAUGUCCAUUCACAAUCAAAUCAAAUCCAACACAACUAAUUAUUAAAAAACUAAUUCCUUUUUCUUCCAACUAUACAACACAAUUAAAUCCAUAUUUUCAUUCCUACUAACAACGAAACUAAAUAAUUUUUUAUUAAAUAAAUAUAAUUUAUAGUACUUUUAAAUUAAACAAAACUUAUUAAUUUUUUUUUCAAGACAACUAAUUUAUUUAUUUAAGAUAUAAAAAUAUUAAAAUAAACAUAAAAAUAUAUAACAUUCAUCAAACAUACUUAAUAAAUAAAAAAGAUGAAUCAAAUUACAAAUGUAACAUAAAAUAUAAAAUUACAGAUUUAAAAUAUACAAAAUACCGAAAAACAUAUUAUUCGUAGCUAUCUAAAUUUUCCGGUAUAUGCUCAAUCAAAUCGAUUUUACAAACGAUGUGAGCAUUUUUGUCACAAAGUUGUUCCCUAUUGGUCAUAUAACUAGAUAGGCUUGUAAUUCCUUUCGUAGAGUAUUCAAAAGAAUGUUCAUCAUCUUGAGUAGAGUUGCAUUAUUGUUGGUUUGGAGACAUGUCAUUUAGAAAUUCGGUUUGAUCAUAUUGGCGAAGGUAUGUAUCUCGUUCAUCCUCAACGAUGGUAUUAUUAGUACUGAUACAUGUAAUCAUAAUUUUCUCAACAAAAUCUUUGUCCCAUACUAGACAUCGGCGUCAAAGAAAUGCAAAAUGGGCUUAUAAAACUCCAAAUGCUAGUUCAACAUCUUUUCUAAUAGGCUAUUGACGUUCAACAAAAAACUUGUGUUUUCAGUUUUAUAGAGCAGUUAUUGACUUGGAAAAGGUAUCCCAUGAAGGAUAAAUAUCAUCUAUAAGAUAAUAUGCCAUAUUACUUUCUCGACCAUUUGCAACGUAACUCAUGUUUCGUGCUCAGCCUACCUAUACAUCACUAAAAUUAAGAGAGCGAUGGAGUAUAUUAAUGUCAUUGCACGGACCUGGUGUUCCGAAGAGUAUGUUCCAUAUCCAUAAGUCAUACGAUGCAACAACUUCCAAAAUGAUUUUUGUUUUACUGUUUCUAGCUGUAUCUUGCCCAACCCAAGAAAUGGGACAAUUUUUCCAUUCCAGUGCAUGCUAUAAAUGGUUCCUACCACACUAAGAAAUCCACGCUCUUCCCUGACAUAGAGUAGAGUUGCCUAAUCAUAUUGGUUAUGCCUUCUAAGUUAGUCUUCCCCAAGGCAUGAAAUAACACCUUUUAUGAAAUGUAUAAGAGCAUCUGGUGUUGCCGUUUCAUUCAUUCUCAAAUAUUCAUCAUGCACAUCUAAUGAUGUACUGUACACCAACACACUCAUAGCUCUAGUAAAAUUUUGUAAUUAUGAAAUACCUCUUCUAUUAGUAUUAUCGCGUUUUUGAUAAAAAUAUGUCAUUGGAUGUAAUAGUCGACACUAUUUGGAGGAACAAAGGUUUUCGCAUUUGAAAUUUGCGUCGGAAGAUUACUUCAUCAAAUGUUGAGUUGCCAACAAUGUAGUCUUCCAUUAUACGUGCCUUGCCCUUCUCACGUUGUCCAUCACGAUACCUCCUUCUUUUUCGAGUAGGAUGAUCUCCAAUGAGCAUAUUUAGCAUGCUUAUAAGUAAUUCAAUAAUGAUGUCAUCAAGUUCUCGAUUUCGCUGAGCAAUUUGUCUUGCCCAUUCAUCAUAGUCGAUCAAAUUAGAUGAUCCGGUGAGUUUUCAUUAUCUGAUAUCUCUAUAGAUGUAGGAAAUGAAGAGUAUGUGUUUGAUAUUAAAAGAUGUUCAUCUUACACUUCUUUAUACAAAAAGAAAGUAAAAUUUUUUGAAAUUUUCAACAAAGAUGACGAUAAGGUUUUUUUAUCUUUUGAAAUGUGUGUCAUAUACUAAGUGGACACCAUAUGGAAGAGUAGAGGUUUUUUAUGCAAUCAGUAUUUGAAUGUGUGCCAUAUGCUAAGUAAUAAUUAAUGGAACAUAAAUUGUUUUUGUCAUUUCCAUAGACAAAGGAUACAUUACUUUCUGAAAAAUAUAAAUAAAAACUAAUUAUAAACAAAUAUGUAAAACAGCAAAAUUACAUAAUUAAAUGUCUUAAAAAUUCGUGAAAUGCAAAAAUACAUAAAAUAUCUUACAAGUACAUAAAAUACAAAGUACAUAAUGAAAAAAUUACAAAUGAAUUAAAAUAUACUUAAAAUAUACGAUACACUGAAUUGCUUUUAGUUUCCAUAAUACUUUGCCAUUAGAAAACGUUUCAUGUUUUUUUCUUCAGACGGCAAGUGCUCUUUUUGUAAUAAUGUGUUCAGAAACACAAGUUACAUUUUCAUUAAAUCUCUACCAGGGAUUGUUUGCUCCCGUUGUUGAUCCAUGUCGAGUUUUUUUCAUGACUUGAACUUCAGUAUCUCUACUAAGCCUCAUUGUAACAAAAUUUUCAAUAAUUUCAUUAGAAACCUUAUAUUUUUACUUUUCUUUUAUCCACAUAUCUACAUGUUAGACGUUGCAUUGUUGUACUACCACUAUUUUGUGUAUCUGGUUUAGAGUAGUUCCCUUCUUUUGUAGUUCUUGAUCUUUUUGUGACGCUCUUACUUUCUUUAUUAUCCUCCUCAUAACGUGUUGUGCCAUGAUCUUUCAGUAAUGUCCACUUCAAAAUUUUAAAAAUAACUUCAUUAAAAACAACAAUGUCAUUAAACUUGACGUUCCCAUUUUCCUCAUAAUGUUUAUGAGCUUCAUUCUCAAUAUAUUUCAUGUACAUUCCAAUUUUUUUCGAUGAUAUGCUUCCUGUUAGGCACCAUCCUAGUUUUGGGCAUUUUUGAUAAGUCGUUUAGAAUGACCUCUCUUUUGAUAUUCCUUUCUGUUACCAAUGUUUCUUAUCUAGAAUCUACCUGAGCUUCAACAUAUAGUUACCUUACUUGUGCCCAUACUGAUACAUUUUCCGGUUUUUUCGAUAAGUCUUAUUUUGACUAGCAAUACACCUUGCUGAUGUUAAAGUGGUAUCUUCAGCAACAUCCAAUUUAUUUCUACAUGGUUGUUUUUCAAUGUUUUUGAGGUUUGAAGAUUUUUAGUGACUUGAUUGGUAUUUGAAAAGAACUAAGAGUUUUUGUAGUAUUUAGGUGUUUAGAUGCUGUAUAGUGUAACACCCCAAAUUAAAAAAAAAAAAAAAAAACUUUUAAACAACACAAAUUAUUCAUUAAACAUGAAUCAUAAGGAUAAAUUGAAAAUUUAUUACCUAAGAUUAAUUUAAACACUAAAACCAUCCAUAAUUUAUGAAAACACAAGAACUCAAAAUUUUCAAAACCAACAUUCCACAUCGAGCCAAUGUAUACAAUCACGCCCGACCUUUCUAUGUACGUGAAAUAUUAUUUUAAAGGAAAAAAGGGGUAAGUACAAAUUUUAGUGAAUUGCAUGUACGCAUACAUAAUAUCAUAUCAUAUCAACCUUACCCAUAUACACAUAUACAAACGGUAUCAACACAUAACCACACAUGCAUGUUAAAGAACAAAUCAGUAACAAACAUACUCCUAUAUAUAUGCCACAUUAACAAGGCACGAUACCCCUUGUUGUGCACGAGCCUGUGGGACACAUUAGCUAAGACCAAUCCUCCAUACUCGAAUCCACUGGGACACAUUGGCCAUGCCCGAUCCCCUUACUCUAUACGUCGGACCUUUAGGACACAUUGGCUACGCCCGGUACCCACUCGAAUGUGUCGGGUCUUAUCAUGUACAGUUCUCAAUACGUGUGGCUAACCACUAUACUCUACCCAACCUAGUGCUACCCUUUUAAACAAUUCAUACAUAUCACACACGAGUUAUUGUAAAGAAGAUAUGACUCAACAAGAUGUAGUGAGGAACUCACCUCCACUAUCAAAGCAAUCUUCAAAGUAGUCCGGGAAUCACUCACAUAUGAUCACCCUUUAAACCACCUAAUAAUAACAAUUUAAGUUAAUUUUAGUCACUCAUCUAACUUAAAAAUGUAAAUAUGCCAAUGCGGUAAAUUUCUAGAUUUUUACAUUAAAAUUAUGGUCUGUUUGGGACCUAUUUUUCCCUCCUUAUACCCAAUAUUUUACAAAACGGUACAUCAUGAAUGUAUUUCAUGUGAAUGCAUUUUUAGGGACUACUUACACAUGUCCAUAUGAUUUCUGUACAAUUUAUGGCGAAUUUUACAAAAUUAUCUCGCAUAGCAGCUUAUUUGGGACCACUCUAGGUAAAUGGUCAUUUUCACCCUAGUUAGAGCCAUUUUUGGCUUCCCGUCUAAAUAAAGAAAAUGGAGUAGACUAAUAUACGAAACUUUAGGAAUUGGCGUCGACCCAAAUUGAUGUCCCUUGAUUUUUCUACCAUUUUUACAAGUGAAGGAUAAAUUAGUAAAUUUCCAAUAUUUCCAACAUUGUCUAUUUUAUGGUUAAUUAGCUUCUUAACCCAUUAAGACAUAAUACAAAGUGGCUUAUUUUCUGUAAACAACUCAUUAACGGACGUGACAGCCCAUUGAGUGAAAAAGCCAUUAAAAAUUUCAAUUCCAUAGUCUAAGUACAUUGCUUUAAGGAGAGGACAAAGUACAUUGCUAGAAUGGUAAAAACAUGAACUAGGAUUUCUUUUCUUGCAUCCACACAAUACCUAAUCCAUGAAAGAAUAGAAUAGUAACCUAAAAAUAGUUACCACCCACUGCCAUCAUGGCAUGGUGGUCAGUGGCGGAAGCCACCACCUCAUAGUGGUCGUUCUAGGGUAGACGUACCGAAAAGAAAAAGAAAUAAAGGUGAUAAUUGGAGAGACUUACUUGAAACAAAGCUCUACCCAAUCCAUAUUACCUUCUCCUCCCCUUUUCAGCAAAAAACAACUUUUGAACUCCAUCCCUUUCUCGAUCCAACUCCCUCUAUGUCUUUAUUUCUUCCUCUAGGCCUCCCCCAACACACAUGUACAUAAAAUACCCCCGAGAGAUCGACCUUAACCUGGGAAAAUAGAGGUUAGCCUAGGUUUGCAAAGGAAGGGGUUGAACCUAAGCUUAUUUCCCAUAAAAAAAAAGCUUCAAAUUCGCAUUUUUCAGUUUAACCCCUAAUGCUUGCCAUAAUGACAAAACAACCCCCUUUUGACCAAACCUUGAAAUUUUAGGUGUCCUAACUUGUCACUUUCAGCCCAUUUUUCCUAAAAUUAACUACCAAACCCUAUAAUACACAAAUCUUAAUUAUUUUUAAUUAAUAAUCAUCUUAUUUAUUUCUGUUUUUAGUAUUUAUUUUUAAAAUACAAUUAUAAUAAAUCAACGAGAAACAGGACGUUACAACUCUCCCCCACUCGAUUCAGACUUCAUCCCUGAAGUCACAGUUAGUGAACAACUCUUGUUAAUUUUGUUGCAUCUUCGACUUCGUCUUCCAUGCCCUUACCAAACCUUUUUGAUGCUACAACUAGAGUUUGGUAAUUCCAAUCACCUUAUGGCGCAAGGUCUUUUUUUUAACAAUAAUAGCAAUCAACUUCCUUGAAUGAUUGAGUCGUUCAUCAAUCUAAAUCUAUUGAAAGGAAACCACCGUUGUUUCUUUCCCCAGACACUUUUGAAGCUAAGAGCCAUGGAAAGUGUUGUGAAUCAAACUCAACUUAUAUGGUAGUUCUAAUAGAUAUGAUACCUUCCUCACUCGAACAAUAACUUGUAUAGACAUAUGCACUAAGGCCCUAAGCUUCUUCUCUUAUGAAACCGAAACACUCAUUUCAAUGGCACAGAUCAUAUACUGACCCUAUACGGUAACCAACUGCUCCUGUACCAUUUAAACCAACUUGUUUAUAAUGAGCAGGAUUAUCUGUAAUCCCCAACAUUCGAUGCCAAAACUCGCCCCAACAUGUGGACGUCUGUAAACCCCAUAAAAUUCAAGCUAAUUUAAAACACUUUAACCCAUUCAAAAACCAUUAAGUUAUACAAAUUGUUUUCAAAAUAGUUUAAACAUCAGAGUAUCCCCAGAACCAAAUCACAAAAUCAUGAAAUACGAGGAGCGGUACGAUCACACCUUUGCCUUGCCACAAUCUCCUGAUGUUCCUGAAACAAUAAACUGAAACUAUAAGCCCAAAAGCUUAGUGGGUUUCCCCCAAAAUACCAACCACAUACAACCACAAUCAUAUCAUAUCACAAUACAGAACAACCAAUGCCUCUCAAGUCUGCAGUGUGACUGGUCUGCCCUCAACAGGCCUUCAGUCCACCUGGCCACUCUUUGAGUCCACAGUAUGACUGGACCGCCCGCACCGGGCUUUCAGUCUAUUUGGAUCUAUCCCGAGCCUUCGGUAUGACUGGAUCGCCAUACGACCUUACAAUCUAUCUGGACCGCUCGUAGGGUAUGUUGGCCUUCAGCACAAAGCAGGACCGCCUCAACCCAAACAUCAAGAAAAUAACCAUGUGCACAUAUAACAGGAUACCAGCCUAACCGGUCACUAACAUAGCAUCAUCUUAUAUACCAGGAUACCAACCUAAACUAGGUCACUAACAUAAUAUUGUCCUAAUUACCAGGACGUUGAUCUAAUCAGAUCAAUAAGCACAUCAAACAGUACACAUACAUAUAUCAUAUAUAACUAUCUCACAGAUCAUCGAUCAUAGUAAUCUCUCAUAACCAAAACACCAACCUAACCAGGUCACUAAUAUACCAAUCCUAACGGAUCAUAAGAGCAUGACAACAUAUUGUCUAUCCGGACACCGAUCUAACAUAUCAUAACCACAUGUAGCACACUGUAACCAAGAUAACAACUAAAAGGGCCGGCCUUGGUGCCUUAGACCCUAUUGAUAUAGUGAGGAUAACUCACCUUGCAAUUGCCGAACCGAACCAUGAAAGCACUGGCCCGAAGCACUGCUCCAAACUCCAACACCUAAUGUCAUCAAUGGACCAUGACAUAAAUAUCCAAAAUACUUAACACCACUGAAGGUCAAACAGGUCAAAUUCAAAGUCCUUGCCAAAGUCAACCUUCCUGAUUGACGCUACUCGCCAACUCAACCCGUCGACUCGUCAAGUUCUUAUACUCAGAAAACUCCGAUAACACGACUUAACUCGCUGAGUCGCCCCACGACUCGUUGAGUUGAACGAUCUCUGAAUUCCAUCAUGUCCAACUCACUGAGUCGCCAACCGACUCACUGGUCCGAAGUUUAACCACAAGAGGUUGGGGUUCUAUGACCUGAAUCGUCGAGUCCAAGAAUAGACUCGCUGAGUCCAAGGUAAUCUUCAACAGACUCGCUGAGUUAUUCUUCAAACUCGUUGAGUCCAUGCCGAUCUUCAUAUGACUCACCGAGUCCACCCAUGCGACUCGUCGAGUCCCUUCAGUCCUUCAUCCAUACAGAGGCUUUUCGAGCCAUGCAGGGUUACCAAACUGUAGAUCCACUCUUCUAGGGCAUAACCCCUACAUAAAGUUGCAAACUUUACCUGAAACCAAGGAGUUAAAGGUCCAAAUCACUCUAGGGCUAGGGUUUUAGACAAAGGGGCUUCACCAACAACUCAUUGACUGAGGGCUUAGGUUUUAGACAAAGGGGCUUCACCAACAACUCAUUGACUGAUGCUUUAUGGCAUUCUGGACCAACACAAGUCUAGAUCUGAAGUAGCAACCUCAGAUCUAAACUCCAAACCCGAAAUAGGUCUCAAACAUACCCAAAAUGGCCCCAAAUCUUUUUCAUGAAUAGAUCUAGAUGCAAAAGAGUGAAGGUAACAGCUUAUUACCUCCAAGAUGUGCCCAAACUGACGUAGAUUUUGGAUCUCCACCACUCCCUUGAUGCAAGCCCUUUUUGAUCUUCAAGAUUCUUCCACAAAAGACAACUUCCAAAGCUUGAAUCUCCCUCCAAAGGCCUCGCACACACGAGCUUAGGGUCUUCUGGUUCUCAAGGGAAAUAAGGAGGCUGAGAGAAGGACAUAAGGACCUUUAAAUAGGGUGGUUCGCGAUUAGGGUUUUCUCAUUCAGCACCAACUCGUCGAGUACAGCUUCCGACUCGGCGAGUUGGCUACUUAACUCGCGAUCAAAUCCCGCUCCGACUCGACGAGUAGCAUAUCUACUCGUCGAGUAGCUUCUUUAAUUCACACUUUAAGCCCUUCACUCAUACUUCUAGAAUUUGGGAUGUUAUAACUCUUCCCCACUUAAAUUAGGCUUCGCCCUCGAAGCCUACUAUAGUAUACGAUACUGAAUAAACCUAUUGCACUACAGACUCCGAUUUUCCAACCAACUCAGGUCUUUCUAGACCCUACCACUGCACCCCCUUUAGAAUUCCUUCUUCUUGUGUGGCAUCCUUGCCAAUUAUUCUAGGCCGAUCAUCAGCCUUCUUUUCCCCAAUGACAGCACAUAGCAACUAUGUAUCACCUGAUGAUACUACUAUAUUCCCGUCUUACACAUUCAUUCGCAUCUUGCGAAAACUGGAUACCUUUAUAAACCACCGGGACCUAACCCAGUACAAAUUUGCUAUCCUUUGCCCAACAGGCGCAACUUCUAUCAAAUUGCACUGUUGGGAACUCAUCCUGCUUCCUUCCUAAAUCCAAUCCCUUUCUAUGCUGACAUGAUAAUGCAUUUUCAGCUUCCGAGCAACUCUCAUGAACACCCAUCUAUAACGCAUAUACACAUCGUACCUGGCCCAAACAGCCUCAUGCUGGAAGACCAGGCACGCCUACGAUGGGUCCAACCAUCCCUAGAAUGGAACACCAACACAUACAUAACUCAUGACUACACCCCUAAUUGGACCCCAAGGGUCUACCCUUGCAUCACUUCCAAACCUUCUACUUCGACAUUAGAGCUAACCAUUCCACAACCUCACGAACAUCAAACCCGGAUGUGUUUCCAUACAACUGGUACAAUCUCAGUGCUCAUUAUCAAAAACUGAAAUACUUUUGAUCAUCAUUUACACUACUGCUUUCCCUUCCGAUAACCAAUACUCCUUCACGGAGCUACAUACCUUUCCCUUCCAUUCUUUCAGGAAGUCUACUCAACAACCUUUACCACAUCCAUAAGUGCCAUGGUGCUAAAACUCCACUCUACAUUACCCAAGUAGAGCAACUGCUAUUCUCUAACUCACAUAUACUCCGAAUCCGAUCACAUAACUAACAAACCCAUGCACAGCCUUUAGCUAACUCCAUCAUCAUGAUCAAUACUUGGGGCCAAACCUUAUCGAUUGCUAUGUCAUGGCGACAUACUCACUCAUUCUCUGCAUACAAGUCUACUUAACACACACAGGGUCUUCAGCAUGACUGGACCGCCUUACCAGGCCUUCAGCUUAUCUGGACCACCCUCAGAACCUUCAACAUGUCUGGACCGCCCUUCUGGGCCUUUAGACUGUCUGGAUCGUUCUUCAAGCCUUCGGCCUGACUGGUACGCCCACCGACCUUCAGUCUAUCUAGACCACUCAAAAUUUUCGUACAUCACCUUGAACCAUUCUUUCUAGGAAUCUCUCCCAUGCUUACUGUUCUCGCCCUCUUAGGGUUCCGAACACCAGCUCCAUUCCAUAUACUCACAUUCCGGCCAAACCCUAGGCCUCACAACAAUUAAUCACUUUCUCUAAAAACCAUGGUCUGUUCCCUACCCCACGUGUCUAUCACCACAUUCUCGGCUAAAACACCAUUGGAUCCAACAUUUUAAUUAAAAAACCCAUUCGGAUCCACUCUCUGUCCUCAACUAGAGUAUUACCCGAUCCAAGAAGAUGAAACCUCAGAGACACUCCGAACUGAUGAGAUCACCAAGAUCCUUUGAACUCCUUCCGACCACUAAUAACAACUUCCAAUCAACCAAGAUACACCAGAGUCCUCAGCCUACUCUAGCAACAUACUCAAUACGUGGAACAGACCUAUUGAGUGCUAAAGAGUAGCAGCCUACUCAAUACUCGAACAUAGAUCUACAAACAUUAACAGAGUCUUCAGCAUGAUUGGACUGCCCUACCAAGCCUUCAGUCGAUCGUCCACCUUCUCAGAAAUCCGAUGUCUGUUCCCUGGCCUGUGUUUCUACCAUACACGCUAAAUAACCCGCACUCCAGUGCUGAAUGCACUGUUGAGCCCUGGCAUCUAACAAAACCCUCAAUCUAUCAAUCCAAAACCUUCAGAGUCGAGCACACCCUCGACCGAAAAAUCGAACUGAACUUAAUUCUUGACUAGGACCCCAACCUGGUUCCCCAACUUCUGCUAUCAAGCAUCCAGAAGAUGACGUGUUCUUAUGCUCGGGAGCUUUUCCGAACCCCCAAUCAACAUAACCCUCAAACUAAGCAGCCAAUAGGGCCUCCAUUCUCCCUGUCGGUUGUGAAACUUAUCCCCAUCUCAAAACGUUUCCCACUUCAGCAUCUCAGGGUGACACUCCCCCACUUAGAUUCAACUAAUCCUUCAUAAUACAUGAAAAUUGGAGGAUUCUCAAUCCUCCUCACUUCCCAACAAUUUAUCCGAUGACAACCAACUCGUUCCCACUAGUGUUCCAUUGCUAGCUGGACCCAACUCAUCACACACUUCUAAGAACCAAAUGAUCACUUCCUGAAUCCCAGUGAAACCGACAGCCACUAAUGCGUGAAUGACUCCACACUCGCGUCCUGAAGACCACCAGAUAGAUGCUCCAACUAAUACCUUGGCAACGAAUUACUUCUCUUGGCGCUUUAGUCCGUCAAUCACUAACGGUUGCUAACCACUGAAUAUUGACAAUGAUGAAUAACGCUUUUGUGGGACCCCAUCCGCAGGCCUCCCGCAUAAAACCCCUUUUCCAAAGGUGUUCCAAACAAGCUUCCCUCUCUCGGGCUUUAGAAAUCAUUCUCUUCAGGGUUCACACCCUGACUCACUCACCAAUUGAAACGCCCACAGCUGAAUGGCAAUAGCUGAAACAACCUCUACCCUAAAUCGGGCUACAAACCACCCCCAAGAUACAAUCUACAGUCCCAAAAGUGCAAUAGAUCGCAAAAUCAAUCCUUUCCAUCCGAUACAAGAGAUCCAAGGAAAACCGGACCUCACAAACACUUAUCCACGCCGACCGUCUUGAGCUCACCAGCGCUGAAAUAAUGUUGCCUAUUCCUGAAACCAACUGACCCCGAGCUGGAAUACACCUGAUCCUGGGGUCACAAGCCUGCUCACUCCUUCAAGCUCGGAAACUGAGAGAGCGCAAUCCUUGCCCUACAUCAACUAAUUAUUUCACUUCCAGCUGCAAAACCCUAGCUGAACACAUUCAUCACUCCUUUUCGGAGUUCCCACGACCCAUAUCCCGGCCUCAAGCAAAUCCCCGAGUCUCAAAUCUAAAACUUUCAUGCUAACCUCUCCUGCUCCACUCGCAGAAUAUAAUGAGUACCGAUCAUAUUCCUGAUCCUAAAUAACUGCAACACUCUGCUCAUCAGAAUAUGUCCCAGAACUAAGAAGCUCGACCAGCUCCUCCCCUUGUCGUUGUUACAGCUGCCAAAGCUGCCGUGGAAACUGUCUCAGCAAUGUCUGCAUGACGCUCGACAAAAUACUCAACCAUGGCGGUCUUGAAAGACCCAAUCAUCUUCGGAAUUUAUCCUCGAACAAUCUCGAUUGUCUCCUCUCAGAGGAUCUCUGUCACACCCCGCUAAAGCGGAAACGCAAGGUAUGACAGCGAUAACGGUUUCAUUGCAAAAGAUAAAGAUACAUCACCAUAGCAGUAUUUAAAAGUUUACAACCCAUAGCUUAAAAGAAACAAAGUACAAGUUUUUCCAAAACAACAUUAAUCAAAAUAUAACUUCAUAAUAGCUUCAACACGAUGCAGCAUGCUCUAUGAUGAUGAAUCUUUACAUUCACUUACUAAUGAUUUCCUAAAAAAGCAUGUAAAACGAGCGUCAACUAUGAAAAUAGUUGGUGAGUUCACAAGUUUAUAAAAUCGAGCUUGAAAUAAGGCUUUUCGUAAAUACAAGUACAUUGCUUUAAUGAUAAACAUAGUUGAUUGCUAUUAAUGAAUACAAGUUUAUUGCUAUAACGAGAAACGAGUUUGUAUGUGUAUGAGCAAACAAUGAGUCUCAACCAAACCUAUGACUGAAGCCCUAUCGAGAUCUAUGCUUAUCGUUCCAUAGAUGAAUAUGGUAUCAUGCACUCCAGCGAUUCGGGCGAGUGAGGAGUUGUCAAUUCCUAAUAGCGCUAUCCAUAAUGACCAUUGGCUCAAAGAGUUAAUGGUUAGAGAUAAGGGAAGGGCCUUAGUACGAUAAGUUCUCAUGUUCCGUGUUGCAUAGACAUACAUAAAGAAACAUAGCAAUACAAUAGCAAUCAUGUUUGAUACAAAUCAAUUUAAAUACAACAUGCAAAUAAUAGUUUUUCUGGACAUGCUUUUCCACCCCAAAACAUAAAAACUGAAAAUAGGGGAGUACGUGAAUACUCACGAUGUUUUGUGUAGGCACAAGCGGUACUUCGGGAUGCACCAACGUCUUACUACCGGGAUCCUACGACAUCAAACACACGCACUAGUGAGUUUCCAUGUCGAUAUCUAAUGCUAAUAUACUAAACUCUACAUAUAGGGAAAUGCCAAUUUAUGUUUUAGUAUUGGAUUUUAUAUCAAUUAGUUACACUUUUUCUGAAGUAAUGAAAUUCUAUAUAUCGGGCGAUUAAUUACAACCUUGGAAUAUAAACUUUCCAAAUUUUUAAGUCCUUAUUACAACAUAAAUUCACGAAAAUAGCAUUCAAAGGAUAAAAAUUCUCAAACUUUUUAUUUAACUGUUAUUACACAAUACUAAGCUGGGAGUUAUAAAANAGCUGAUUAAUUAUAUUUUAUGAUUUUUGAGCAUUUAUUUCAAUAAAAAUUGAAAUAAAUAGAAAACAGUUUCCAAAAUUACCCAAACUUUUUAAUUAACUGUUAUUGUACAUAAAUAGGCUGGGAAAAAUAUAAAAGAUAUUUGUCAGUGGGUAUUUCUAUUUUUCCUUGUUUUAUUCCUUUAAAUAAUCAUAAAUUAAAGAAAUAAUAUUAAACAGUUAAAAUAAAUCACCAUAAAUUUUUGUAACAUCAUUUACAGUGUAAAUAACCUGGGAAAAAUAUCAAAAGUGGUUUUCAUAAUGCAUAAACGGGUUUUGGGUAUUUAUGUGUAUUUAAGUGCAUUUUAAUGCAAUUAAUUUUAGAAAAUAAGAGAAAAAUAGUUUACAGUAGAGAAAAAUAUUCAAAAUUUUUAUGUAACCUCCUACUGUAUAAUAUUAUAUCCUGGUAAAUUUUCAUGAAUAUUGGAUAAUCAGAACUAUUUCUCCCAUUUUUAGACCAUUAUAAUUACCAAAAAUAGUAAGACAUGAUGAAAAAGCUUGAAAUUGUUUUCUGGAGUCACCCAUCACAGGUAAGGUAUGAGAAAAUUGUUAGAUAAAAUUUUCAUAUCUUCUAUGGUGGUUUUUGAAUUUAUCAUGUCCUAAACAAAAGAAAAUUAGAAAUCGUAUUAAACUGUAACAAAAAUUACUGAAAUUUGGUGAGGGGUCAUUAUUCCCCAUGAGUAUCAUCCAUGAAUUUAUUUAGAAUUUAUUGACCUCUGGAAGUAUUUUAUAUGAUUUAUGCCCUUGGUUUUAGCAAUAACUCUAAUAAAUCAAAGAAAUAACAAAAGCUCUUGAAAUUUCCCAGAUUAUCUCAUGCAUGCAAGGGCUUUCAAAAGGUAAAAUGUAAAAAAAAAUGUAUUCAGAAGAGAAAUGAGGGUAAUGAUUCCAAACAAUUUAAGAAAAGUUGCAUGCAAUAAUGCAUGAAGUGUAAAUGUGGCUGAAAUUCAUGAAUUUGUGUAGCCCAUUCAGUGAGGUUUUAAGCCACGAAAUUUCAACCAUCAUUCACUAGAUAUGUUAAGUUUCUAAGGUAUUUUUCCUCAGAUUUAUGGUUGGGUUUAAGGCCAUUGAUUAUGCAAGACAAAAAUAGUGAUCACAGAAAAAGAGCUGUAUGCGCAAUCUUUUUGUAAAAAUUGCCAAAAAUCGGAUAUUUAAUAUUUUACAGUAAGACCAGUUGGGUUUGAAAGUUAACUCGUGGAACGAACCAAUACAAAAAGAAUAUCAUGAUUUGGUUAAGAAAUGACUGAGUUAUGACCGUUCAAAGUCGAACAAAGUAAUCUGGCAGAUUGCAUGUUUGCUUGUGUGCAUUAUUAGGGUAUUUCAACAAGAACAUCAUGCAUGUCCUUGGUAAGGCCCGAUUUCUAACACAUGCAUGGAAUGAAUGAGCAUCCAAGAUGUACUAGAAAUGGUUUAAAUGCUUUUGGUCAUGCAUGAACACAAAAGAAAUGGAGAAGAACAUGAAAUAUUAGGUUUUGAUGUCACAUGAUCAUAUGUGCAUCUUUUUCACUCCUUGCAUGGGUUUGAUCCCGGAUUUUCACCAUCUCUAACACAUGCAUUGUGUUAUGGUGAGAAUCUACAAACCACAAGGGGAGAAUAAAGAUUUCUAGCCAUGGAAAGGCAUAGAAUCCGAAAAGUAGAGAAGACUAAGAAGAAAAAGAGGUUUAACCAUGAAACUAUGGAAGAAGAUGUUGUUGUUUACCUUGGUUUUGACCUUGAGAGAAGUAAGAACACUUCAAGGGCUUCACAAUCUCGAAAUUUUGCAGAGAAAUGAGAGGAUUUUCGUGAGUUUAGAGAGAGGGAAGAAGAGAGUGAAGUGUGUGAAGAGAGUGAAGUGAGAGAGUGAAGAGGGAAGAGGUGGAGUAAGGGUUUAAGCUUAAUGAUUGUGUUUUGGGGAAGAGAGAGGGCAUGGGGAGAGGUGAUGGCCGGUUUUUGCAUGCAUUUUGGCCUCCUCUCUCCUAAAUUUUAAACUUUAUAAANNNNNNNNNNNNNNNNNNNNNNNNNNNNNNNNNNNNNNNNNNNNNNNNNNNNNNNNNNNNNNNNNNNNNNNNNNNNNNNNNNNNNNNNNNNNNNNNNNNNNNNNNNNNNNNNNNNNNNNNNNNNNNNNNNNNNNNNNNNNNNNNNNNNNNNNNNNNNNNNNNNNNNNNNNNNNNNNNNNNNNNNNNNNNNNNNNNNNNNNNNNNNNNNNNNNNNNNNNNNNNNNNNNNNNNNNNNNNNNNNNNNNNNNNNNNNNNNNNNNNNNNNNNNNNNNNNNNNNNNNNNNNNNNNNNNNNNNNNNNNNNNNNNNNNNNNNNNNNNNNNNNNNNNNNNNNNNNNNNNNNNNNNNNNNNNNNNNNNNNNNNNNNNNNNNNNNNNNNNNNNNNNNNNNNNNNNNNNNNNNNNNNNNNNNNNNNNNNNNNNNNNNNNNNNNNNNNNNNNNNNNNNNNNNNNNNNNNNNNNNNNNNNNNNNNNNNNNNNNNNNNNNNNNNNNNNNNNNNNNNNNNNNNNNNNNNNNNNNNNNNNNNNNNNNNNNNNNNNNNNNNNNNNNNNNNNNNNNNNNNNNNNNNNNNNNNNNNNNNNNNNNNNNNNNNNNNNNNNNNNNNNNNNNNNNNNNNNNNNNNNNNNNNNNNNNNNNNNNNNNNNNNNNNNNNNNNNNNNNNNNNNNNNNNNNNNNNNNNNNNNNNNNNNNNNNNNNNNNNNNNNNNNNNNNNNNNNNNNNNNNNNNNNNNNNNNNNNNNNNNNNNNNNNNNNNNNNNNNNNNNNNNNNNNNNNNNNNNNNNNNNNNNNNNNNNNNNNNNNNNNNNNNNNNNNNNNNNNNNNNNNNNNNNNNNNNNNNNNNNNNNNNNNNNNNNNNNNNNNNNNNNNNNNNNNNNNNNNNNNNNNNNNNNNNNNNNNNNNNNNNNNNNNNNNNNNNNNNNNNNNNNNNNNNNNNNNNNNNNNNNNNNNNNNNNNNNNNNNNNNNNNNNNNNNNNNNNNNNNNNNNNNNNNNNNNNNNNNNNNNNNNNNNNNNNNNNNNNNNNNNNNNNNNNNNNNNNNNNNNNNNNNNNNNNNNNNNNNNNNNNNNNNNNNNNNNNNNNNNNNNNNNNNNNNNNNNNNNNNNNNNNNNNNNNNNNNNNNNNNNNNNNNNNNNNNNNNNNNNNNNNNNNNNNNNNNNNNNNNNNNNNNNNNNNNNNNNNNNNNNNNNNNNNNNNNNNNNNNNNNNNNNNNNNNNNNNNNNNNNNNNNNNNNNNNNNNNNNNNNNNNNNNNNNNNNNNNNNNNNNNNNNNNNNNNNNNNNNNNNNNNNNNNNNNNNNNNNNNNNNNNNNNNNNNNNNNNNNNNNNNNNNNNNNNNNNNNNNNNNNNNNNNNNNNNNNNNNNNNNNNNNNNNNNNNNNNNNNNNNNNNNNNNNNNNNNNNNNNNNNNNNNNNNNNNNNNNNNNNNNNNNNNNNNNNNNNNNNNNGAUGCUCCCAUCCUUAUCACAUCAUUGGUUAGUCGAUUUGCUAGACUUACUGCACUUUGAAUGGUAGUUGGGUUUGCUGAGGUAACCAUUCCCCGAAUCUCUGGUGCCAGACCCCAGAUGUAACGAUCUAUCCGUUUCUCCUCAGGAGUAACCAUGUGAGGUACCAGUUUUGCUAGUUCAUGAAAUCGGACUGUGUACUUCUCUAUUUGUGUUCCAACCAUAGAAUGGUUCCAGAAUUCAGAUUCAAGUUUCUGAAGUUCAUCCUUGGGACAAUACUCCUCUAUCAGCAGCUUCUUUAGGUCUUCCCAAGUUAGCUGAUAUGCCGCUGUACGGCCUCGGGUUUGCACUAGAGUAUUCCACCAGGUUAAUGCCCUAUCUUGGAAUAGGCAAGAUGCAUACUCAACUUUGUUGCGCUCGAGGCAUUUGCUAAUGUGAAGGACCGACUCCAUGCUGUCAAUCCAUUUCAGUAACCCGACCGCACCUUCCUUUCCAUGGAACUCCUUAGGUUUACAGGCCAUAAAGGACUUGUAGUUACAUUCUCUUUCAUUGUUUCCCCGGUUUCCUCCACUACUUCCUUGGUUAGCAUUAAGUCCUGCAGUUACCUGAGUAACAAUGUUUGGAAUUGCUUCCAAGAGCUGUUGUGCUACAACUUGAGCAACAUCGGGUGUUUCGUUCUGUGGGCGCCCGCGACUAGGCCUGCCUGACAUGGUUCUAUGACACAGGAGAAGAAAUACGUAUAAAUACAUAAAAUAAUGUAUAAUAUUUAGUUCACUACUAUUUUGAAAACCGCAAGUGUUGUCAAAUCAUUGGUUUGCAUUAAUACUAGGCAUAUAGAUUUUAGAAAGAAAAGAAAAGAAAAUCUUUUUAUUCAACCAUUUACUAAAUAAAUUCUAGGGUUUGACCUCAUAGUAAAAGUUUUCAAACAUAAGAUAAAAUUCUUCAUUACCAUUUGAAAUAACUUUAAAAACAAACCAAUACAUCAAUCCCAAAAUAAAGUUUUAAAAUGUUUUUCCCAAAAGACACCCAACAUGGGUUUUCAUUUCAUAACAAAAUAAAAUAAAAUACUGAAAUCAGAACCAAAAGCCAAUCGCUAUCCCAACAAGAAGCAUCAACACCACAAUUAGGAACAGCCCACCAAACACAUAAUAUGCUGUCAUCGCAUGACUGCCUCUCGUCUAGCAGCACUAGCAGUGUUAGCAGUCUCCAUCGAAUGCUGAUACAGGAUUUCCAUCCCUGUCAUCACUUUGUUCAAUACCUCCUGUUGCCCGGCUAUUACAACAAGGCUGUGGUGCAGAUCUGCUGCUAUCAAAUACAUCCUCCGGGACUCCUCCGGGGUCAUACCUGGCUGCCUAACAGGUAUUCCUAUAACUUGCUGUGGUGGCGGUGCUCUCGGUCCUGCAACGCUGGGUCCUGCUCCGCUAGGUCCUNCAUUAGCCUUCCUCUUUUAGUCUUAUUCUCUUCUAUAGCACAUAGUGCCUCAACAUCCCAUUCAUCGUCUACUUCCUUUUUGGAAGUUACUACAUUGCUUUCCACAGACUUUUUCUUUGACCAGCAAUCCUUGGACAUGUGGCCCCACUUUCCACAAUUGUUGCAGUUGCCUUCGAACCUCCUCCCCCGAGAACUCUUAUUUGUCGGUCUUUUGAGAUCUCCAUGGUUGUGAGGUUCCUGGCUGACUCUUCCCUUUGUCAGCAUUUUUGUAUCCUUCUUUAGAAGGUGGCUUGAAAUUCCUCCGAAUUUUGCUUGUGUAGAGUGCUUCCUCUUCACUCUUUAGCGUGAUGCCUCCUAUUUGCUUAGCCAUAGCUUCUUGGCUGGCCAACAAAUUCUCAAACUCUACAAGUGAUGGUUGAACGGGCCAUCCUUGUACAGCAGUAAUGAAGCUUAUAUAUUAUGGCCUCAGUCCAUGGAUGAUGAUCCUUUUCAUUCGAGCUUCUGCAAUGACAGAUUGCGGAUCUAUUUCAGUAAUCUCCCGACAUAUCGACUUGACCUUGUGGAAAUAUUGAGCAAUCGUCAUGUCACGUUGUGAGAUUGAUAAUAGCUCGUUCUCCAAAAGUUGUAGUCUCGUAUCAUUCUUCUUUGAGAAAAGCAUCAGAAACGUGUCCCAAGCUUCUUUCGGGGUGUUCUCAUCCCGAAUAUGCUCCAACAUCUCUUCUUCGAUUGUCGUCUUCAAGGAAAACAUUGCUUUGCCAGCUUUGAUUUUCCAUUUACGCAAAGCACCAUUAACGUCUUCCUCUGGUGGCGUAGUUUCGCUUCCACCAACGACCUCCCAUAGAUCUUGUCCUUGUAUGUAGGACUUCAUACAUGUUUCCCACGUUUUGUAGUUGUUGUUGUUGAGUUUCUUGAUUCCUCCGACGACUUGGAGAUCACCCAUCGUGUUAGCAGUACCUCGGUAAUACCAAACAAGCUAGUUUCGAAACUAAACUUGAAGAGUCACAAACUACUCACGAUACAACGAGAAUUACUCGUUCUCACUAUCAAGAAACCUUGCUCUGAUACCAGAUUGUUGAACACGACUCUUUUUUAUGGGAAACAACAAGACUUUUAUUAAGACACUUAAGGAGAUUUUACACUUUGAGAGACUACUACACUUUUCUUACUUGGAGGCUUUUCUUGGAUAUUUAGAUGUUGGAUGGUUUGGAGCAAAUGAGCUCCACACCUAUUUAUAGGUGUUUCCACCUCCUUAUAGGAAGUUUAUAGAUCUACAUACAUUCAUGACUAUUCUAGAACUAUCUACCAUAUUCUAUAUCAAUUACAAGGUUUUAUAUGUUUCUAGAAUGUGCUAUAAUGUCCUAGAUAAGUAUACACAUUCUUGUGCCUUCCAUAGUGUUCUAGAAUGUUCAAUAGCCUUCCAGGGUCUUCCAUCUCGUUCUAGAGUAUUCUAUAAUCUUCUGGCAUCUUCUAGACUCCUCCAUAGUAUUCCAUAAUGUUCUAGAAUCUUCCAGAUCACUCUAGAGCAUGCUAACUUCUUUCUAGACAAUAACAUGAUUCUAUUAGGCUAGUGAUGACUUUCAACACUCCCCCUCAACACUAGCCCUUAUUCGUUGUACCAUGUUGAGCUGAUAAUUAAAGCCCUCAUAUUUUUCAGUACUUAACCCUUUGUGAACUCCAUUUGCUACUUAGUCAUUAGUCUUGAUAUGUUUCAUAUUGACUUCUUCCUUGAGAACUUUUUCUCUUCCACAUGCUUUGUUUUUCCUCAGCUGCUGCAGUAGUUGCUUCGUAUAUUGUUUUCGUAGUUGACGAUGACAUUCGUGGUUGCCUCUUGUCCCACCAUAAUAUUAUUCCUGACCCCGUUGAACUCUCUUGUAUAGCUUCUUACACCUCCCUUUGGUAAACUUGUAAGCAUGUGGGUUGUCCCUUUUACAAGAUUUGGAAAAUUUCCGUAAUAUUAACAUGUUAUGAUGUAAUCCGUUAUUGAUAUGCUCAUCUCGUUUAGAGGUUGCCCCAUUGAGAUAUUCUACUUUGCUCUUACGAAUUAAUGUGUUUUUCUUCUUUUUCGCCUUAUCAAGUUUCUCUAUCACAUGUUCCAUUUUUCGUCUAAGAUGCGACUUUUUAUGCAACUCUGGUGACGUCAUGUUCUUAUUCUCCUUUGGAAUGUCCAUCUUCAAGGGAAUAACUUCCUCCUUCAAGGUUGUCAUAAACUCUGUCUCGCUCUUCUUGAGACCUUUGUUGAGUUUCAUAGUUGAUAGCAUUCGGGAUCCAAUCAUAUUUCUCUUCAAGGGUACAAUGUGAAUUAUUGAACCCUUGGUGAUACGCAUGGUAUCAUCUCUCUCAAACGACCAGGGUCGUACAUUGUCUAGAAAAUACAUUCCCAAUACCAUACGAUAGUCAUGCAUAUGCACCACUGUCAAGUCUAUGGUGCCUUCCCAUUCUGCUAUCUUAAGAGGUACUCCAUAUGCAACACCAAUGAUAGGCUUGGAUAAAGAGUUGACGACUUUCAACCGCCCUGGAUUUUUUGUGUAUUUGAUGCCCAACUUCUUAGCUUCAUCUUUAGCAAGCAAAUUAUGGGAUGCACCUGUAUCUACUAAAGCCUUGGUGUAUCCUCCAUUUACCCUGGCAUCCACGAACAUUAGCCUUCCUCUUUUAGUCUUAUUCUCUUCUAUAGCACAUAGUGCCUCAACAUCCCAUUCAUCGUCUACUUCCUUUUUGGAAGUUACUACAUUGCUUUCCACAGACUUUUUCUUUGACCAGCAAUCCUUGGACAUGUGGCCCCACUUUCCACAAUUGUUGCAGUUGCCUUCGAACCUCCUCCCCCGAGAACUCUUAUUUGUCGGUCUUUUGAGAUCUCCAUGGUUGUGAGGUUCCUGGCUGACUCUUCCCUUUGUCAGCAUUUUUGUAUCCUUCUUUAGAAGGUGGCUUGAAAUUCCUCCGAAUUUUGCUUGUGUAGAGUGCUUCCUCUUCACUCUUUAGCGUGAUGCCUCCUAUUUGCUUAGCCAUAGCUUCUUGGCUGGCCAACAAAUUCUCAAACUCUACAAGUGAUGGUUGAACGGGCCAUCCUUGUACAGCAGUAAUGAAGCUUAUAUAUUAUGGCCUCAGUCCAUGGAUGAUGAUCCUUUUCAUUCGAGCUUCUGCAAUGACAGAUUGCGGAUCUAUUUCAGUAAUCUCCCGACAUAUCGACUUGACCUUGUGGAAAUAUUGAGCAAUCGUCAUGUCACGUUGUGAGAUUGAUAAUAGCUCGUUCUCCAAAAGUUGUAGUCUCGUAUCAUUCUUCUUUGAGAAAAGCAUCAGAAACGUGUCCCAAGCUUCUUUCGGGGUGUUCUCAUCCCGAAUAUGCUCCAACAUCUCUUCUUCGAUUGUCGUCUUCAAGGAAAACAUUGCUUUGCCAGCUUUGAUUUUCCAUUUACGCAAAGCACCAUUAACGUCUUCCUCUGGUGGCGUAGUUUCGCUUCCACCAACGACCUCCCAUAGAUCUUGUCCUUGUAUGUAGGACUUCAUACAUGUUUCCCACGUUUUGUAGUUGUUGUUGUUGAGUUUCUUGAUUCCUCCGACGACUUGGAGAUCACCCAUCGUGUUAGCAGUACCUCGGUAAUACCAAACAAGCUAGUUUCGAAACUAAACUUGAAGAGUCACAAACUACUCACGAUACAACGAGAAUUACUCGUUCUCACUAUCAAGAAACCUUGCUCUGAUACCAGAUUGUUGAACACGACUCUUUUUUAUGGGAAACAACAAGACUUUUAUUAAGACACUUAAGGAGAUUUUACACUUUGAGAGACUACUACACUUUUCUUACUUGGAGGCUUUUCUUGGAUAUUUAGAUGUUGGAUGGUUUGGAGCAAAUGAGCUCCACACCUAUUUAUAGGUGUUUCCACCUCCUUAUAGGAAGUUUAUAGAUCUACAUACAUUCAUGACUAUUCUAGAACUAUCUACCAUAUUCUAUAUCAAUUACAAGGUUUUAUAUGUUUCUAGAAUGUGCUAUAAUGUCCUAGAUAAGUAUACACAUUCUUGUGCCUUCCAUAGUGUUCUAGAAUGUUCAAUAGCCUUCCAGGGUCUUCCAUCUCGUUCUAGAGUAUUCUAUAAUCUUCUGGCAUCUUCUAGACUCCUCCAUAGUAUUCCAUAAUGUUCUAGAAUCUUCCAGAUCACUCUAGAGCAUGCUAACUUCUUUCUAGACAAUAACAUGAUUCUAUUAGGCUAGUGAUGACUUUCAACACUCCCCCUCAACACUAGCCCUUAUUCGUUGUACCAUGUUGAGCUGAUAAUUAAAGCCCUCAUAUUUUUCAGUACUUAACCCUUUGUGAACUCCAUUUGCUACUUAGUCAUUAGUCUUGAUAUGUUUCAUAUUGACUUCUUCCUUGAGAACUUUUUCUCUUCCACAUGCUUUGUUUUUCCUCAGCUGCUGCAGCCGUUGCUCCGUAUAUUGUUUCCGUAGUUGACGACGACAUUCGUGGUUGCCUCUUGUCGUACCAUAAUAUUGUUCCUGACCCCGUUGAACUCUCUUGUAUAGUUUCUUACGCCUCCCUUUGGUAAACUUGUAAGCAUGUGGGUUGUCCCUUUUACAAGAUUUGGAAAAUUUCCGUAAUAUUAACAUGUUAUGAUGUAAUCCCUUAUUGAUCUGCUCAUCUCUUUUAGAGGUUGCCCGGUUGAGAUAUUCUACUUUUCUCUUACGAAUUAAUGUGUUUUUCUUCUUUUUCGCCUUAUCAAGUUUCUCCAUCACAUGUUCCAUUUUUCGUCUAAGAUGCGACUUUUUAUGCAACUCUGGUGAUGUCAUGUUCUUAUUCUCCUUUGGAAUGUCCAUCUUCAAGGGAAUAACUUCCUCCUUCAAGGUUGUCAUAAACUCUGUCUCACUCUUCUUGAGACCUUUGUCGAGUUGCAUAGUUGAUAGCAUUUGGGAUCCAAUCAUAUUUCUCUUCAAGGGUACAAUGUGAAUUAUUGAACCCUUGGUGAUACGCAUGGUAUCAUCUCUCUCAAAUGACCAGAGUCGUACAUUUUCUAAAAAAUCCAUUCCUAAUACCAUACGAUAGUCAUCCAUAUGCACCACUGUUAAGUCUAUGGUGCCUUCCCAUUCUGCUAUCUUAAGAGGUACUCCAUAUGCAACACCAAUGAUAGGCUUGGAUAAAGAGUUGACGACUUUCAACCGGCCUGGUAUUUUGAUGUAUUUGAUGCCCAACUUCUUAGCUUCAUCUUCAACAAGGAAAUUAUGGGAUGCACCUGUAUCUACUAAAGCCUUGGUGUAUCCUCCAUUUACCCUGGCAUCCACGAACAUUAGCCUUCCUCUUUUAGUCUUAUUCUCUUCUAUAGCACAUAGUGCCUCAGCAUCCCAUUCAUCCUCUACUUCCUUUUUGGAAGUUACUACAUUGCUUUCCACAUACUUUUUCUUUGACCAACAAUCCUUGGACAUGUGGCCCCACUUUCCACAGUUGUUGCAGUUGCCUUCGAACCUCCUCCCCCGAGAACUCUUAUUGUCGGUCUUUUGAGAUCUCCAUGGUUGUGAGGUUCCUGGUUGACUCUUCCCUUUGUCAGCAUUUUUGUAUCCUUCUUUAGAAGGUGGCUUAAAAUUCCUCCGACUUUUACUUGUGUAGAGUGCUUCUUCUUCACUCUUCAGCGUGAUGCCUCCCAUUUGCUUAGCCAUAGCUUCUUGGCUGGCCAGCAAAUUCUCAAACUCUACAAGUGAUGGUUGAACGGGCCAUCCUUGUACAGCAGUAAUGAAGCUUCUAUAUUCUGGCCUCAGUCCAUGGAUGAUGAUCCUUUUCAUUCGAGCUUCUGCAAUGACAGAUUGCGGAUCUAGUUCAGUAAUCUCCCGACAUAUCGACUUGACCUUGUGGAAAUAUUGAGCAAUCGUCAUGUCACGUUGUGAGAUUGAUAAUAGCUCGUUCUCCAAAAGUUGUAGUCUCGUAUCAUUCUUCUUUGAGAAAAGCGUCACAAACGUAUCCCAAGCUUCUUUCGGGGUGUUCUCAUCCCGAAUAUGCUCCAACAUCUCUUCUUCGAUUGUGGUCUUCAAGGCAAACAUUGCUUUGCCUGCUUUGAUUUUCCAUUUACGUAAAGCACCAUUAACGUCUUCCUCUGGUGGCGUAGUUUCGCUUCCACCAACGACCUCCCAUAGAUCUUGUCCUUGUAAGUAGGACUUCAUACAUGUUUCCCACGUUUUGUAGUUGUUGUUGUUGAGUUUCUUGAUUCCUCCGACGACUUGGAGAUCACCCAUCGUGUUGGCAGUACCUCGGUAAUACCAAACAAGCUAGUUUCGAUACUAAACUUGCAGAGUCACAAACUACUCACGAUACAACGAGAAUCACUCGUUCUCACUAUCAAGAAACCUUGCUCUGAUACCAGAUUGUUGAACACGACUCUUUUAUAUGGGAAACAACAAGACUUUUAUUAAGACACUUAAGGAGAACUUACACUUUGUGAGACUACUACACACUUUGCUUUCUUUGAGGCUUUCUUGGAUGNUUUGUGUAGCCCAUUCAGUGAGGUUUUAAGCCACGAAAUUUCAACCAUCAUUCACUAGAUAUGUUAAGUUUCUAAGGUAUUUUUCCUCAGAUUUAUGGUUGGGUUUAAGGCCAUUGAUUAUGCAAGACAAAAAUAGUGAUCACAGAAAAAGAGCUGUAUGCGCAAUCUUUUUGUAAAAAUUGCCAAAAAUCGGAUAUUUAAUAUUUUACAGUAAGACCAGUUGGGUUUGAAAGUUAACUCGUGGAACUAACCAAUACAAAAAGAAUAUCAUGAUUUGGUUAAGAAAUGACUGAGUUAUGACCGUUCAAAGUCGAACAAAGUAAUCUGGCAGAUUGCAUGUUUGCUUGUGUGCAUUAUUAGGGUAUUUCAACAAGAACAUCAUGCAUGUCUUUGGUAAGGCCCGAUUUCUAACACAUGCAUGGAAUGAAUGAGCAUCCAAGAUGUACUAGAAAUGGUUUAAAUGCUUUUGGUCAUGCAUGAACACAAAAGAAAUGGAGAAGAACAUGAAAUAUUAUGUUUUGAUGUCACAUGAUCAUAUGUGCAUCUUUUUCACUCCUUGCAUGGGUUUGAUCCCGGAUUUUCACCAUCUCUUACACAUGCAUUGUGUUAUGGUGAGAAUCUACAAACCACAAGGGAAAAUAUAAAGAUUUCUAGCCAUGGAAUGGCAUAGAAUCCGAAAAGAAGAGAGAACUAAGAAAGAAAAGGAGUAGAAUCAUGUAACUAUGGAAGAAGAUGGUGUUGUUUACCUUUGUUAUGAUCUUGAGGGAAGUAAGAACACUUCAAGGGCUUCACAAUCUCGAAAUUUUGCAGAGAAAUGAGAGGAUUUUCGUGAGUUUAGAGAGAGGGAAGAAGAGAGUGAAGUGUGUGAAGAGUGGAGUGUAAGAGAGUGGAGAAAGAAGAGGUGGAGUGAGGGUUUUGACUUAAUGAUUGAAGUUUUUGGGAAGAGGGAGCAUGGGGAGGGGAGAAUGGCCAGAUUUUUGAGUGGAUUAGGGCCUUCUCUCUCCUCAAUUCAAAUUUUAUAAAAAUCCCUCCUUAAUUUUUAUAAAAAUCUAAUUUUUAUAAAAGUGAUUAUUAAGCAAAUUUGGAUUUAUUUAAAAUCUUGUUUUCAACAAAUGAAUUAUGAUUAAUACUUGGUAAUUUAGUUUCUAUUUCAUUGACUAUAAUUCUUAAUUUCAUUAAUAACAAUUUGAUAUUAGGAAGUUUAUAGCCAAAUUUUAUAAAGUUUUUAAGCUUUAUAAUUUAUAACUUUGGAUUUUUGGCUCUUUAGGGUUUUUGGAAUAUUGUUUGAUAUUCACAACAUGUUGAAGUAUAAUUAGAAUGUUUUAAUUUAUUUUUAGGGUUUUAUACCCUAUUUCAAUUAUAACAAAGCUUGAAGCUUUAUUCUAAUUAUAGUAUUGGCAUUUCCUAUUGUAGCUAAGCAACUUACUAGAAUUGUAAGUAUCAAGUAUAUUAGUCCUAGACCUUAGUUGGAUCCUAGUUUAUGCAUGAUUUUUGACCUAAUUUAUACUACUAGGCCAUGGCAUGAUGUGCAUGAGUGGUUUUUAUAAAGAUGCAUGAGUCCAAGAAUGACCUGAAUUUGACAGUUGUCACAAUCUUCCUGACACGAUCGUCUGACAUUGCUGGCCUAUCCUGGAUUAUUCUCCCGAUCCUAACCUGGAUCCGAUCACAAGACGUCUUGUGACCACCAUUCUGUCAAUACACCAAAAGAUCUCUGAUAACCUAUAUAAUGAUAGGGAAACAACUCCAAAACCCAACCCUAGGGGUUGUGACUUGCUUGCUACGCGUAUGGGUCCUGUGCUUUCAGUAGUACGGGCCCAUACUACCUUCCGCACCUACCCAUAAUUGUCUCAAGUAUCAUCACAACGCCCCAACAAUAUACAUAAAUAUAGCGAGUGCUUAAAUCCUCACUCCUAGAGGAAUGCUAAACAUCUCAUAACNAACGGCCCCCCCCCCCUCUCCCCACCCCCCCAAUCCAUGAAACUUCCACCAACCCUGUAGCAUUAGUGUAUACUAGCCACACAUAACGCUGGACCCGAUAGACUUUCGAUAUCCAAUUCUACCCUAAGGUCGAAUCAAACAUUCUCAGGCUAUAAGAUAUUGAUUAUGCACAGCCGUGAUGCAUACACUAAACAGCUACAGUAAGGAUGUCAAUCUUAUAUAAGGAAAACCCUAGGCUAAUAGGCAUCAUGAAAUCAUGCAAUUCUAUCAUGCAAUUCCUAAAGAUCCCUAGCCUAGUACUAGCAUGUUGUUCUAACAUAUCUCAAUAUCAAAUAACAGUAUGGUAUUUUGGGGUCUACUUACUGGCUCCAGCUGAUCGUACACUUCACAUCCUCUUUUACUUAUUUUGAAAACCAUUUUAGAAUUCAUUUUGAAAACCUUUCCUUGAUUUGAGACUGGAGUCACGCGAAUGUUUCUCCAAUUCACUCAAACCAAGGCUAUGAUACCAACUUGUAACACGCAUAAAAUUCAAGCCAAUUUAAAACAUUUUAACCCAUUCAAAAAAAAUUAAGUUAUACAACUUGUUUUCAAAAUAGUUUAAACAUCAUAGUAUCCCCAAAACCAAAUCACAAAAUCAUGAAAUAUGAGGAGGGGUAAGAUCACGCCUUUGCCUUGACACGAUCUCAUGAUGUUCCAGAAACAAUAAACUUAAACUGUAAGCCCGGAAGCUUAGUGAGUUUCCCCCAAAAUAACAACCACAUACAACCAUAAUAAUAUCAUAUCACAAUAUAGAACGGCCAUGCCUCUUAAGUUUGCAGUGUGACUGGUCCGCCCACAACUGGCCUUCAGUCCACCUGGUCCACUCUUUGAGUCCACAUUAUGACUGGACCUCCCGCACCGGCCUUCAGUCUAUCUGGAUAUAUCCUGAGCCUUUGGUAUGACUGGACCGCCAUACAGGCCUACAAUCUAUCCAGACCGCUCGUAGGGUAUGUUGGCCUUCAGCACAAGCAGUACCGCCUUAACCCAAACUUCAAGCAAAUAACCAUGUGCACAUAUAACAGGUAUUCACAUAACAGUCCAUAGACAAACAAAUCGAUCUAGCAGAUCAUAAAGCAUAGCAACAUCCUAACUAGGAUACCGACCUAACCGGUCACUAACAUAGCAUCAUCCUAUAUACCAGAAUACUGACUUAAACCAGGUCACUAACAUAAUAUUGUCCUAAUUACCAGGACGCUGAUCUAAUCAGAUCAAUAAACACAUCAAACAAUACACGUACAGAUAUCAGAUAUAACUAUCUCACAGAUCAUCAAUCAUAGUAAUCUCUCAUAACCAAAACACCGACCUAACCAGGUCACUAAUAUACCAAUCCUAACGGAUCAUAAGAGCAUGACAACAUAUUGUCUAUCCGGACACCGAUCUAACAUAUCAUUACCACAUGUAGCAUACUGUAACCAAGAUAACAACUAAAAGGGUCGGCCUUGGUGCCUUAGAUCCUAUUGAUAUAGUGAGGAUAACUCACCUUGCAACUGCUGAACCGAACCAUGAAAGCACUGGCCCGAAGCACUGCUCCAAACUCCAACACCUGAUGCCAUCAAUGGACCAUGACAUAAAUAUCAAAAAUACUUAACACCCCGGAAGGUCAAACAGGUCAAAGUCAAAGUCCUUGCCAAAGUCAAACUUCCUGAUUGACUCUACUCGCUGAGUCAACCCGUCGACUCAUCGAGUUCUUAUACUCAGAAAACUCCCAUAACACGACUCAACUCGCUGAGUCGCCCCAAGACUCGUCGAGUUGAACAAUCUCUGAAUUCCAUCCUGUCCAACUCACUGAGUCACCAACCAACUCACUGGUCCGAAGUUUAAGCACAAGAGGUUGGGGUUCUGCGACCUGACUCGCCGAGUCCAAGAACAGACUCGCCGAGUCCAAGGCAAUCUUCAACAGACUCGCCGAGUUGUUCUUCCAACUCGUCGAGUCCAUGCCCAUGUUCAUAUGACUCGCUGAGUCCACCCAUGCGACUCGUCGAGUCCCUUCAGUCCUUCAUCCAUACAUAAGCUUUUCGAGCCAUGCAGGGGUUCCAAACUGUAGAUCCACUCUUCUAGGGCAUAACCCCUACGUAAAGUUGCAAACUUUACGUGAAAACGAGGAGUUAAAGGUCCAAAUCACUCUAGGGCUUGGGUUUUAGACAAAGGGGCUUCACCAACAACUCAUUGACUGAUGCUUUAUGACAUUCUGGACCAACACAAGUCUAGAUCUGAAUUAGCAACCUCAGAUCCAAACUCCAAACCCGAAAUAGAUCUCAAACAUACCCAAAGUGGCCCCAAAUCUCUUUCAUGAAUAGAUCUAGAUGCAAAAGAGUGAAGGUAAUAGCUUAUUACCUCCAAGAUGUGCCCAAAUUGAAGUAGAUUCUGGAUCUACACCACUCCCUUGAUGCAGGCCCUUUUUGACCUUCAAGAUUCUUCCACAAAAGACAACUUCCAAAGAUUCAAUCUCCCUCCAAAGGCGUCAUACACACAAGCUUAGGGUCUUCUGGUUCUCAAGGGAAAUAAGGAGGCUGAUAGAAGGAGAUAAGGUCCUUUAAAUAGGGUGCAACCCUCAAGAUUAGGGUUUUCUAAUUCCAGCACCAACUCGUCGAGCACAACUUCUGACUCGGCGAGUUGGCCACUUAACUCACGAUCAAAUCUCGCUCUGACUCGAUGAGUAGCGUACCUACUUGUCGAGUAGCUUCCUUAAUUUACACUUUAAGCCCUGCACUCAUACUUCUGGAAUUUGGGAUGUUACAACGUCCUACACUUCCUACCAUACAAUAGUUUAAAUGGAGAUCUUCCUAAUAUAGAUGUCAACUUGUUUGGCUAUAUCUUUACAAAUAACUCUGGUUAUCUCGAUCAACAUUCGAAACAUUCCCUGAAUCUCCCACAUAUUUGGUCUCUCAUCCUAAAAUUCUACUCCCUGGAGCUUUUCUAUCAACUCUAACAGAUGAGUAAACAUUGUCAUUCAUAGACACAACUCUGGAAGUGGCCAACUAGCUGACCUCUGGCUAAGAGCAUCAACAACCAAACUUACUUCAUCGGGAUAAUAAAGUAUCUCUCAUUUGAAACUCGUAACAGUGUAUAGCAACACAACCCAACUCCUUGAAAAACUCCCAUAAAGCUAGAUUUUAGGCUCCAUAACUUCCAAUACCAACCCUCUAAGGGUAACGAUCAUCCCUACUCCAUCAUGUGCCAAAUUAACUAAUCAGUUGACAAGGAACUCUACAACUCAUAAUUGAAGAAAUAUAUUGAUCAAUACUUGGUCAACAUCCCAACAGAGAAAAUAGUUUUCAAAGACACACACAUACACCCAUAC